rnacentral:rRNA from 1 species
CAGUCGCCGCGGUAAUACAGAGGGUGCGAGCGUUAAUCGGAUUUACUGGGCGUAAAGCGUGCGUAGGCGGCUUCUUAAGUCGGAUGUGAAAUCCCUGAGCUUAACUUAGGAAUUGCAUUCGAUACUGGGAAGCUAGAGUAUGGGAGAGGAUGGUAGAAUUCCAGGUGUAGCGGUGAAAUGCGUAGAGAUCGGAAGGAACAUCUGUGGCGAAGGCGACUAUCUGGGCCAACACUGACACUGAGGCACGAAAGCGUGGGGAGCAAACAGGAUUAGAUACCCCAGUAGUCCCUGUCUCUUAUAC